rnacentral:rRNA from 1 species
UACGGGGGGGGCAAGCGUUGUUCGGAAUUACUGGGCGUAAAGGGCUCGUAGGCGGCCAACUAAGUCAGACGUGAAAUCCCUCGGCUUAACCGGGGAACUGCGUCUGAUACUGGAUGGCUAGAGUUUGGGAGAGGGAUGCGGAAUUCCAGGUGUAGCGGUGAAAUGCGCAGAUAUCAGGAAGAACACCGGUGGCGAAAGCGCUCUGCUAGGCCGCAACUGACACUGAGGGACGAAAGCUAGGGGAGCGAAUGGG